UCCGAUAUGGUGUAGUGGCUAACAUUAUCGCCUCUCAUCAAACCACGAAGCGUAACGUGACGGAAACUGAAAGCGCGAUAGCCCGGGGUUCGAUUCCCCGUGUCGGAA